UAGAAAAACGUUGACAAAAGAGCAUUGAACUCACCUAUUAAAAACUGGUGUUAAAUUUCAAAAAGCUCACAGAUUUCUUGCAACAACAAUGGCAGCAGCAACAAGGUACGCAGUUGUCACAGGAGCAAACAAAGGGAUAGGAUUUGGGAUUUGCAAGCAAUUGGUUUCUAAUGGUGUCACUGUGGUGCUAACAGCAAGGGAUGAAAAAAG
rnacentral:sRNA from 1 species